GUGGUGUUGAUGGGUUAGGGGGGGGGGUUAUGAUUAGAGAAGAAGGGAAGGGGGAUGGUGGGUGGAUGAGGAAGGGGAAGGGGGGAGGAUUGAGGGUUUGUUAAAGCAACAAACACUGUAAAAAGCAUAUUUGUGAGGCAAGAUGCCUCUGAAGCUCCAAAUCAGGGUUAGAUACAAAGAAAGUAAACCAGGCACACGAUCACAAGCUACAACAGACAGGAUGAAACAAUUCUUCACUAAUAACAACGGACUGGACAACUUCUGGUUGACUGGCUGAUUAGUUUUUUUAACUUACGAGAACACCCAAAUCAUCCAUGUGUCCCUGGUACAUUGUUGGCUAUGUGAUAAUAAUACCAACAUGUUGGCUUACAAGAUGUUUAGUGAUACUGGGCCGCUAAGAUUGUAUAAAAAUGACAAAACUAUCACAUGCUUUUAAGAGUGAGGACGUUGCACCUAAUAAAAGUGAUCGAAGGUGCUGGAUGCAAGAUUGGUCGGCCCCGCUAUGUCAACAAAUCACAGAGAAGCUCUGAUUAUGACACACACAGAGGGAGAGUGACUUCUUUCUCUGCUCAGGUAGACAUUACUCCUCUAUAUCUUUACAUAGAAAAUCUGCUGUUUACUGCUAUAUUAAUGCUCUGAAUAUCAUAUAGUGCAUGUUUAAAGAAACUGCUUUCUAUUCAACUGCUCACAGACUGAGACCUACAGUGACUCGUCUUUCUCUGUGAGAAGCGUACUCGUCAUUAUUCCUUCAUUCAUGCUAUUAAAAAUAGCUAAAGUAAUUAAACAAAUUUUACCAAAGAGUUUGACUAUGUAGCAAAUCUCUUUACACUUCAAGUGAAUAAUAGAAAACAAGACUGUGAGGCUGUUCUUAGGCACAGCAGUGCUUUGAGCUAAAUGCUAACAUGAUCACAUUUACUAUGCUAACAUGCUGAUGUUUAAAUUCACCAUCUUAAUUUAGCCUGUUAGCAUGCUAACAUGGCUAAUUAUCACAAAAUACAGCUGAGGCUGAUGGGACUGUCAUUAGUUUUGCAAGUGUUUGAUCACAAAUCAAAGUAUUGUUCAAAUUCAUAUUUUGACCUGAUGGCGGCUCUACAUGAAAAGUCAGGGACUCACCUAAGUCAGUGAGAUUCAUCCUCUGGUAACCAUGGUAACCAUGGAUGUAUGUACAAAUAUGUUUGCCAGAGAUAACAUGAAGCACUGGAGCUGUAGGGGACACAUGGAUAAUUUCCUACGUGUAUAUUCUCAUCACUGAAAAGAUCCACCAAACGCGUCAGCAGCGGGGCCCGCGGCCGCGGCAGCAGGACCGUCUCCUGGGGAAGGUGCAAACGCAUCUAGGGUAUUGCAGACGAAAACAGCCGGAACGCAAAACGCAAAAAACAUAACACCCGACAGACAACAUGGAUGUAAAGGACAAAAGAUGAGUAAACAGAUGGAAUGGACAGGACACAAAAAUGAGAGGUCAGCAUCAGGGAAAAAAAAGCAGAGAAUACAAGAAAUAUGCAGCCCGGUUUACUGCAGUGAAUGAUCUGAUCGUAGCAUCAGUCACGUGUGGAG